rnacentral:rRNA from 1 species
UACGUAGGGUGCAAGCGUUGUCCGGAAUUACUGGGCGUAAAGUGUGCGCAGGCGGCAGAGCAAGUCGAGUGUGAAAGCCCCGGGCUUAACUUGGGAAUUGCGCUCGAAACUACUUUGCUGGAGUGUGGCAGAGGAAGGUGGAAUUCCACGUGUAGCGGUGAAAUGCGUAGAGAUGUGGAGGAACACCAAUGGCGAAGGCAGCCUUCUGGGCCAACACUGACGCUCAUGCACGAAAGCGUGGGGAGCAAACAGG